GCUCAGGUGGCGAAAUGGCAGACGCAGUAGACUCAAAAUCUACCGAUAGCAAUAUCUUAAGGGUUCAAGUCCCUUUCUGAGCACCA
rnacentral:tRNA from 1 species